GGAUUCGCUCAGUGGUUAGAGCAUAGGUCUCAUAAGCGAAAGGUUGUGGGAUUGAAUCCCGCUAGAGGCUG
rnacentral:tRNA from 1 species